UCAACAUUCCAUCUCAUAACAAUGGACUUCCCCAGCUCUGCUGCCCCUCCUGAAGGGCCCAUUUAGCCUCAUAAUAGACCGAAGCUCAGGUACGCAGACUAGGACCUGCCUAGUUUCCCCAAACUAUCCAGCCAAUCAGAUGCCUAGGAUUUCCUUCUUUUAAUCAGAGUCUUUGAACAAUGCCCAGGGCUUAGAAGUGGAGAUGAGCACUGCCCCCCUAGAGUCACACAUGACCGGACAGGAGAGUCAAGGACAUCUUGCCCUGCACCUGGAUGGAUGAAACUGGGAGCCAUCUCCAGUUGGGAAGGUGCUUUGAUUGGACCAUGUGAUGAUGGACUUGUGGGUGUUGGGCAGGGACUUGGACUUUCCUUUGGGUGGGGAAAACCUGGAAACUUUCAGAUUCGGGUUUUCCCACAUGUGCCAAUAUGACAUCUUUAAUAAAAUGGAACUUUGAGGAAA